GCAAAACGCGAAGAACCUUACCAAGGCUUGACAUACACCAGAACACCCUAGAAAUAGGGGACUCUUUGGACACUGGUGAACAGGUGGUGCAUGGUUGUCGUCAGCUCGUGUCGUGAGAUGUUGGGUUAAGUCCCGCAACGAGCGCAACCCUCGUUCUAUGUUGCCAGCACGUAAUGGUGGGAACUCAUGGGAUACUGCCGGGGUCAACUCGGAGGAAGGUGGGGAUGACGUCAAAUCAUCAUGCCCCUUAUGUCUUGGGCUUCACGCAUGCUACAAUGGCCGGUACAAAGGGCUGCAAUACCGUGAGGUGGAGCGAAUCCCAAAAAGCCGGUCCCAGUUCGGAUUGAGGUCUGCAACUCGACCUCAUGAAGUCGGAGUCGCUAGUAAUCGCAGAUCAGCAACGCUGCGGUGAAUACGUU
rnacentral:rRNA from 1 species